rnacentral:rRNA from 1 species
UCCUACGGGAGGCAGCAGUGGGGAAUAUUGGACAAUGGGCGAAAGCCUGAUCCAGCAAUGCCGCGUGUGUGAAGAAGGCCUGCGGGUUGUAAAGCACUUUCAGCAGGGAGGAAAAGCUUACGGUUAAUACCCGUGAGUCUUGACGUUACCUGCAGAAGAAGCACCGGCUAACUCCGUGCCAGCAGCCGCGGUAAUACGGAGGGUGCGAGCGUUAAUCGGAAUUACUGGGCGUAAAGCGCGCGUAGGCGGCCGGAUAAGUCGGGUGUGAAAGCCCUGGGCUCAACCUGGGAAUUGCAUCCGAUACUGUCGGGCUAGAGUCUGGUAGAGGGAAGUGGAAUUCCGGGUGUAGCGGUGAAAUGCGUAGAUAUCCGGAGGAACACCAGUGGCGAAGGCGACUUCCUGGACCAAGACUGACGCUGAGGUGCGAAAGCGUGGGUAGCAAACAGGAUUAGAUACCCUGGUAGUCCACGCCGUAAACGAUGAGAACUAGCCGUUGGGCUCAUUUAUGGGCUUAGUGGCGCAGCUAACGCAUUAAGUCUCCGCCUG